rnacentral:piRNA from 1 species
UGUCAGGAGACUCAGGUUUGUCAAAGCUAGG